rnacentral:lncRNA from 1 species
CGCAAACAAAUCGUAAAGCACUGUUAGGAUGGAUAACUGCAUAAUAGAUACAAAAAUAAUCAGAAAUUCAUUGAAGACAAAGAGAGAUCAUUCAUUUUUUGAUGUAAUGGUAGCGUAAAUACAGCAAAGCACCUGCUUGUAUAGAUAUCACUUCCAAAAUGCCAACUAAAAGCUAGAUGAGAAAUGAGCUCAGCCAAAGCCAAAAACCAGUAGAUUCAAACAAGGAGCAGUAGCCCUAAGUAGUAGAAUUCGACCAAAUAAAGGUCAGAAAUGAAAAAUGAAAGUUUAGCUAAUCGCAGCAACAAACACUGGGCUUCAGCAAUAAUACCACUCAGCUGGAGUAACACAACAAGAAAUAGCCAUUUCUUCCAACUAAAACAAAUUUAAAAAUCAAUAAACUAUGCAACAGGGAAUUGAAUCACCAAAACAGAAUAAGAAAAUAAACAGAGAUACGUACCUAAAACGAUCUCGAAUAGAUUUCUUAACAAACUUCCGAACAGAAAUUCCAGAAGCAAAAUCGAAACAGGGCGCGGACCGAACUAAUCUCGUUGUAGACCCUCCAUGAACCUCCGACCGGUCUGCCUCGCUCUAGCUCAAUGGAUUCGCUGCUAUCCCCUUCCCGUUUCUGUGCGUGUAUGUGGAUUCUUAGGUUCAUGAGGAAGAAGGUGACAAUGGGGGGUGUCUGUCCUUCAGCACCUCAGCUGCGCCCCCUUUCAAUUUUCCAGGCGUGUAUCGUGUUCUAUAUAUACGUGUAUAGGUGUGUGUAUCAGUGUAUAUGUGUGUGUAUCAGUGAGCUUUUUCAAGAAGAAGCCCAGCUGCGCAGCUUCAAUUCCUCCCCUCCCUCCGUUGUGUAUCAGCGUGGAUUGUAUGUCUUCUAUUGUGUAGGUGUUUGGAUUUUUAGGUUAGGAAAUUAAUU